GAUGAACGCUGGCGGCGUGCUUAACACAUGCAAGUCGAACGAUGAAGCCCAGCUUGCUGGGUGGAUUAGUGGCGAACGGGUGAGUAACACGUGAGUAACCUGCCCUUGACUCUGGGAUAAGCCCGGGAAACUGGGUCUAAUACCGGAUAGGAGCGCCUGUCGCAUGACGGGUGCUGGAAAGAUUUUUCGGUCAUGGAUGGACUCGCGGCCUAUCAGCUUGUUGGUGAGGUAAUGGCUCACCAAAGCGACGACGGGUAGCCGGCCUGAGAGGGUGACCGGCCACACUGGGACUGAGACACGGCCCAGACUCCUACGGGAGGCAGCAGUGGGGAAUAUUGCACAAUGGGCGGAAGCCUGAUGCAGCGACGCCGCGUGAGGGAUGACGGCCUUCGGGUUGUAAACCUCUUUCAGCAGGGAAGAAGCGAAAG
rnacentral:rRNA from 1 species